rnacentral:tRNA from 1 species
UGACAGAAGUGGGAUACGAACCUACGCCUACAAGAGUAGACUGCGACCUGAACGCAUCGUCUAAGACCGCUCGACCAUAUUAUA